rnacentral:sRNA from 1 species
AAGUCGAGCGAGAAAGUCCCCGCAAGGGGAUGAGUAAAGCGGCCAACGGGUGAGUAACACGUGGGCAACCUGCCCUUCAGUCAGGAAUAACCCCGCGAAAGCGGGGCUAAUACCGGAUGACGUCCUUUGGGGGCAUCCUUGGGGGACCAAAGGGGGCAGAGCGAAAGCGGCUCCCGCUGAAGGAUGGGCCUGCGGCUGAUUAGCUAGUUGGUGGGGUAGCGGCCUACCAAGGCGACGAUCAGUAGCCGACCUGAGAGGGUGACCGGCCACACUGGGACUGAGACACGGCCCAGACUCCUACGGGAGGCAGCAGUGGG